UAACUUUAGAUUAGAUAAGAAUACUUAUUAAACUUAAGUAUAUUAAUAAGUAGAGGAAAAGAAACUAAUAGGGAUUACCUUAGUAAUAAUAAGUAAAGUAGUAAUAGUUUAAAUUUGAAAUUUAGCUUUGGCUUAAGUUAUAAUUUAUAAAGGAUAUUUUUAGUAAAGUACCUUUUAAGUUCCUUAGAAUAAGACGCUAAAGAGGGUAAAAGCUUCGUAUAGUUAGCUACCGAUCUUUUGUAAAGCUUCUUCGACGAAUUAAGUAGUUUAGGAAUAUUAUUUAAAAUAAGAGGUAUAUCUUUUCUAAAGCUAAAUAUAGGUUAAAGACCGAUAAUAUAUAAAUAGAGUAAUCGAAAAAUAAAAAGUACUUUGAAAAGAAAAUUAAAUAGUAUAUAAAAUUGUUAAAAAGGAAGCGCUUAUAAUUAGACUUAUACUAGGCUAAUUAUCUAGUAUUUUUAUUAGUAUAUUCGACUCGGCUUAGGCUAACGUCGGUUUUCGUAGGGAGAUAAAAGCUUCGGGAACGUAAUACCUUUAGGUGUAUUAUAGUUCGUUGCUUAAUACUUUUGUAAAGACUAAAGUUUAUACUUUAUAAAGAUGUUAAUAUAAUAGUUAUUAACGAUUCGUUUUGAAAUACGGACUAAGGAGUUAAAGUUUUACGUAAGUAUUUAAGUAUAAAACUUAUAUAUAUAAUAAAAGUAAACGUAAGUAAAAGUUUUAACGUAUUAUUAACCGAUUUUGAUAUAUUUAGAUAGAUUUGAGUAAGAGUAUAAAGUUUUAGACUCGAAAAAUAGUAAAUUAUACUUAAAUAAAGUAAAGCUAAAGGAAACUUUAAUAAAGGCUCGUAGCGGUUUUAAUAUACAAAUCGAUCGUUAAAUUUAGGUAUAAAGGCGAAAGACUAAUCGAAUUAUUUAAUAGUUAGUUAUUAUCGAAGUUUCCCUUAGGAUAGUAGUAUUAUUCUUUAGUUUUAUAAAGUAAAGCGAAUAAUUAAGGACUCGAGGACGUUAUAUAGCCUUUAUUUAUUCUUAAACUUUAAAUAUAUAAGAAGCCUUUGUUAUUUAAUUAAACGUAGGUAUUCGAAUAUACUAAUACUAGUAGGCUAUUUUUAGUAAAUAAAAUUGGCGAUGUAGAAUAAAUCGAAUAUAGGGUUAAGGUGUUAAAAUAGACGCUUAUUAAAUAUUACAAAAAGCGUUAGUAUAUUUUAAUAGUAAGACGGUAGUUAUAGAAGUCGGAAUCCGCUAAGGAUUAUAUAAUAAUUUACUUAUCGAAUAUAUUAGCUUUGAAAAUAAAUAGCGUUUAAACGUUUUACUUAUACUUCGCUAUUAAGGUAGAAACGAUACUUUAACGAAUAAGCGGUUAUAAGAGUUAGUAACGAAGCUUAGAGUAUAAGCUUAAGUCGAACGGCUCCUAGUAUAAAUCUUAAUAGUAGUAGUAAAUACUUUAAUAAGAAUUUAAAGAACCGAAGUAGGGAAAGGUUUUAUAUAAAUAGCGAUUAGAUAUAGGUUAGUCGAUCUUAAGUUAUAAGGAAGUUUCGUUUUAAAAGGGUACUUAUACUUUAUAUAGCGAAAAGGAAGUUAGUUAAUAUUUUAGUACUUAGAUAUAGGUUUUACGUAGUAAUAUAAUUAAAUACGAAGACAAUAGUAAAGGCCUUAGGUAAAGUUUUCUUUUCUUUUUAACGAUUUAUUACUUUGAAAAUAGUUUAUUUAGAGAUAAAGUUUAAUAGUCGAAAGAGCUUAGUACUUUUGUUAAGUUUAGUACGUUUUCGAUAUCUUUUGAAAAUUUAUAAAAGGGAAUAAUUCUUACGCUAAGUCGUACUUAUAAUCGUAGUAAGUUUCUAAAGUAAAUAGCCUUUAGUUAAUAAAAUAAUAUAAAUAAAGGAAGUUAGUAAAAUAGAUUUGUAACUUUAGGAAAAAGAUUAGCUCUAAAGGUUAAGUAUAUUAAGCUUUAAGUUAAACCUUUAGGAGUAGAUCGCUAUUAGCUAAGUAACUAGCUAGUAGUUUUUAGUAUUCGGGGAUUAGGCUUAUAGUAGGCUUCGGCUACUUCGGUAUAUAGUUAAUAACUAACUUAGAAUUAGUACGAAUAAAGAGAAUUUAAUUAUCUAAUUAAAAUAUAGUAUUACGAUAGCUAGAAAGUAGUAUUAAUGUAAUAUAAUUUCUACUUAGUACGUUAAAUGUUAUAGUAAAGUAAUUUAACUAAGUAUAAGUAAACGGUGAGAGUAACUAUAAUUCUCUUAAGGUAGCCAAAUACUUUAUUAUCUAAUUAGUAACGCGUAUAAAUAGAUUAACGAGAUUCUUAUUGUUUUUAUUUAUUAUUUAGUAAAACUAUAGUUAAAGGAAUAAGCUUAGUAAAAUUAGCGAGGAAAAAAGACUUUAUUAAGUUUAACUUUAGUUUAAUAUUAUAAAAAGAUAUAAAAAGUGUAGAAUAAGUAAGAGCUUCGGCGUCGGUAAAAUACUACUACUCUUAUUGUUUUUUUACUUAUUUAAUAAAGUAGGAUUAGACUUUUAUCUAACUUUUAGUAUUAAAGUCUUUCGUAGGUCGAUUUAGGUUAAAGAUAUUAUUAAGUAGGAAGUUUAGCUAAGGUAGUAUAUCUAUUAAAUUAUAACGUAAGUAUCUUAAAAAGAGCUUAUAAAGAAUAGAAAUCUUUAGUAAAAUAAAAGAGUAAAAGUUCUUUUGAUUUUGAUUUUUAGUAUAAAUAUAAAUUAUAAAAGUAUAGCUUAUCGAUUCUUUAAACUCUUAAGAUUUAAAGCUAAAGGUAUUAGAAAAGUUACUAUAGGUUAGUUUAUACUAUUUAAUACGCUUUUUUCUUAUAAGUAUAUUUGUUAAUAUAUUCUAAAGAGAUAAUUAGUUUGUAGCGGCUAAGUGUUUAUAACGACGUUGCUUUUUAAUUCUUCGAUAUUAGCUUUUUUUAUUAUAUCGAAGUAGAAUUCGAUAAGCGUUAGAUUAUUUACUUACUAAUAAAGAACGUAAGUUAAGUUUAAAUCGUUAUAAAAUAAGUUAGUUUUACUUUAUUAAUAAAUUUAUUAUAAUAGUAAUUUAGCUUAGUAUAAGAAAAACUAUUAAUUUAGAUAAUUAGUUUUUACAGUUAUUUAAUUAAGUAGUGUUACAACGUUAUUAUUUAUUAGAUAAUAGUUGAAUAUUUCUAAGUUAGAAUUUAUAUUAAAACGCGAUAAUACUACUUAUACGUUAUAGAUAUAUAAGAAUAAGCUUCGAUUUCGUAUCUUAGUAGGCGAUUUUUUUAUUAUUUUCGAAGUAAGUAAUAAUAAUUUAUAUAUUAUAAUUUUAAUAUAUAUAAGAUUAAAUCCUUUAUAAACGACUUAGUUAUACGAAAGGGUUUUAUAAGUAGUAGAGUAGCUUUAUUAUUACGAUUUACUAAGAGUAAACUUUUCUUCGCUUAGAUUUCU
rfam:Coniochaeta ligniaria NRRL 30616 unplaced genomic scaffold CONLIGscaffold_6, whole genome shotgun sequence.